rnacentral:rRNA from 1 species
UACGUAGGGUGCAAGCGUUAUCCGGAAUUAUUGGGCGUAAAGAGCUCGUAGGCGGUUUGUCGCGUCUGCUGUGAAAACCCGAGGCUCAACCUCGGGACUGCAGUGGGUACGGGCAGACUAGAGUGCGGUAGGGGAGAUUGGAAUUCCUGGUGUAGCGGUGGAAUGCGCAGAUAUCAGGAGGAACACCAAUGGCGAAGGCAGCUCGCUGGGCCGUAACUGACGCUGAGGAGCGAAAGCAUGGGGAGCGAACAGG